UAAAGUCUAUAAAAUUAGGUAGUAAAGAAAUAUCUGAAACCUAAAGAAUUUGGCGGUAUUUUAAAUAAUUGGAGGAACCUGUUAUUUAAUUGACAAUCCACAACGUAUCUAACCUAAAUUUUAUUUGUAUAUCGUCGUUUAGAUAAUACUUAAAAGUAAUAAUCAGGAUUAAUAAUUUUUUAGAAUUCAGAUCAAGGUGCAGUAUAUUUAGGAUAUAAUGGGUUACAAUAUAACAAUAUAUAAUGGAUAUAAAAUUGAAAUUAUAUUGAAAGUGGAUUCAAAAGUAAGAUUAAAUUAAAAUGUUAAUUUGAUUAAUAAUUUAAAAUAUGC
rnacentral:rRNA from 1 species